GCGCCACCCAAUUAACUUAUCCAGUACUUGACAAAUUUGAGCAGGUCAAACCAUCUUGGGUAGCGAGACGAAGAAAGUUCUCUCCCAGAAAGAAAAUCAACAUUAAUUGUGAUCAGGAUAACGGCUAGACAUUCUUACGAACAAAAGCCCAAAAUAUUAAAGGCUCCAACUCCAAGAAUGCUGUCGACAAGAUAAAAAUGCAAGCCUAGAAUUGAAAUGGGAAAGAAUCUCACGGAUUCUCACAGAAACCGGCCCAAACGUAACAGGGUUCGAAGUACUGAAGAGCUCGAAGGGAUCCAGCAUUUCGAAUGUUUUCAGUCCAGCGUACCGGCGAGAAUUAACUAGUGGGCAAUAGUGGUAGCAAGGCGACACUGGUUCUCAUCACGAUGCAGGAAGCGGAAG